rnacentral:tRNA from 1 species
CGGGGUGUAGCUCAGUGGCUAGAGCCUGAACUUUGGGGGUUCAGCGUCGUGGGUUCGAAUCCCACCACCCCGACCA